GAUGAACGCUGGCGGCGUGCCUAAUACAUGCAAGUCGAGCGAACGGACGAGAAGCUUGCUUCUCUGAUGUUAGCGGCGGGCGGGUGAGUAACACGUGGAUAACCUACCUAUAAGACUGGGAUAACUUCGGGAAACCGGAGCUAAUACCGGAUAAUAUUUUGAACCGCAUGGUUCAAAAGUGAAAGACGGUCUUGCUGUCACUUAUAGAUGGAUCCGCGCUGCAUUAGCUAGUUGGUAAGGUAACGGCUUACCAAGGCAACGAUGCAUAGCCGACCUGAGAGGGUGAUCGGCCACACUGGAACUGAGACACGGUCCAGACUCCUACGGGAGGCAGCAGUAGGGAAUCUUCCGCAAUGGGCGAAAGCCUGACGGAGCAACGCCGCGUGAGUGAUGAAAGUCUUCGGAUCGUAAAACUCUGUUAUUAGGGAAGAACAUAUGUGUAAGUAACUGUGCACAUCUUGACGGUACCUAAUCAGAAAGCCACGGCUAACUACGUGCCAGCAGCCGCGGUAAUACGUAGGUGGCAAGCGUUAUCCGGAAUUAUUGGGCGUAAAGCGCGCGUAGGCGGUUUUUUAAGUCUGAUGUGAAAGCCCACGGCUCAACCGUGGAGGGUCAUUGGAAACUGGAAAACUUGAGUGCAGAAGAGGAAAGUGGAAUUCCAUGUGUAGCGGUGAAAUGCGCAGAGAUAUGGAGGAACACCAGUGGCGAAGGCGACUUUCUGGUCUGUAACUGACGCUGAUGUGCGAAAGCGUGGGGAUCAAACAGGAUUAGAUACCCUGGUAGUCCACGCCGUAAACGAUGAGUGCUAAGUGUUAGGGGGUUUCCGCCCCUUAGUGCUGCAGCUAACGCAUUAAGCACUCCGCCUGGGGAGUACGACCGCAAGGUUGAAACUCAAAGGAAUUGACGGGGACCCGCACAAGCGGUGGAGCAUGUGGUUUAAUUCGAAGCAACGCGAAGAACCUUACCAAAUCUUGACAUCCUUUGACAACUCUAGAGAUAGAGCCUUCCCCUUCGGGGGACAAAGUGACAGGUGGUGCAUGGUUGUCGUCAGCUCGUGUCGUGAGAUGUUGGGUUAAGUCCCGCAACGAGCGCAACCCUUAAGCUUAGUUGCCAUCAUUAAGUUGGGCACUCUAAGUUGACUGCCGGUGACAAACCGGAGGAAGGUGGGGAUGACGUCAAAUCAUCAUGCCCCUUAUGAUUUGGGCUACACACGUGCUACAAUGGACAAUACAAAGGGCAGCGAAACCGCGAGGUCAAGCAAAUCCCAUAAAGUUGUUCUCAGUUCGGAUUGUAGUCUGCAACUCGACUACAUGAAGCUGGAAUCGCUAGUAAUCGUAGAUCAGCAUGCUACGGUGAAUACGUUCCCGGGUCU
rnacentral:rRNA from 1 species